rnacentral:lncRNA from 1 species
GAGUACCAGUUCCUCGCCGCUCCCUUCAAGGUAGACGGGAAAGCCCGGCAUAAGAUGGCAUCAGGAGCACCAUGAAGCAGCAUCAUCGUCCGAAAGGCCUCCAGAUGGUCAACCGGGUCCGAAGUCCCGUCGUAGCUUUCGAACUGGGAAAGCUUGAAGUUUGGCGGGAUCGGUUCCUGUAUGAUCAUUUGGGAGAAGGGAGGGUCAGUACAAAUAU